GUGCUCAAAGCUAGAGAAAGCCGAACCACUCUGCCUCAUGAAAUGAGAAGAAUGUGGAGUUCUAGGGUAAACAGAGAGAGAAGGAAUGAGGAGGAGAGAGGAGAGGAAACAUGGGAGGUAGGGUGGGGGGUUUCAGUCAAUAUGGUGAUGGAUGGAUCUCAAGGUGCUGAAAUGAUCAAGGGAUCCUUCAAUUUUCAGUACAACGUCUUGCAUUCUAUCUGUAACACAAUGCACAGAGCCCUAUGAGGGUGGCUUAUGUUUCGGUGAUUUUUUUUUUUUUUUUUUUUUUUUAAAAAAAUUCCCACAUGGGGAAACACAUUAUGGGAGAGGACCAGCAUGUUGUUAUGUGUGUUUUGUUUUUAUUUUUUCU
rnacentral:lncRNA from 10 species